GCCCCAGUAGCUCAGUGGAUAGAGCACGGCUCUCCUAAAGCCGGUGUCGGAGGUUCGAUUCCUCUCUGGGGCACCA
rnacentral:tRNA from 3 species